ACAUAUAUAUAUAUAUAUAUAACCAUGCUGGGAAAGAGGAUCGGGUUUAGUAUUCCAUUAAAACAUUUACCUGGGUUGUGUAGCUUUGUCGUCCUAAACUACCCAUGGGCUAUAUGAGUUCAGCUGUCUCUACUGAUAGGGUCCAGAGCGUGAAGCCACCAGGCUAGGGAAGAAAACCUGGAAUGACUAGUAUAUCCCCUAAAGUAUAUAGUGUGAAAUCAUGCAUACGGUUACUAGGACCAAACCUCACAUCGGCAAAUAUGAGUUUCUAUUUUAGAUCUACCCGGGACCUCCAC
rnacentral:lncRNA from 1 species